rnacentral:rRNA from 1 species
UACGUAGGGCGCAAGCGUUAUCCGGAAUUAUUGGGCGUAAAGAGCUCGUAGGCGGUUUGUCGCGUCUGCCGUGAAAGUCCGGGGCUCAACUCCGGAUCUGCGGUGGGUACGGGCAGACUAGAGUGAUGUAGGGGAGACUGGAAUUCCUGGUGUAGCGGUGAAGUGCGCAGAUAUCAGGAGGAACACCGAUGGCGAAGGCGGUUCUCUGGGCCUUACCUGACACUGAGGAGCGAAAGCGUGGGGAGCGAACAGG